rnacentral:rRNA from 1 species
GAUCCUGGCUCAGGAUGAACGCUGGCGGCGUGCUUAACACAUGCAAGUCGAACGAAGCACUUUAUUUGAUUUCUUCGGAAUGAAGAUUUGUGACUGAGUGGCGGACGGGUGAGUAACGCGUGGGUAACCUGCCUCAUACAGGGGAUAACAGUUGGAAACGACUGCUAAUACCGCAUAAGCGCACAGGGUCGCAUGGCCUGGUGUGAAAAACUCCGGUGGUAUGAGAUGGACCCGCGUCG